AUUAGGUUGAACUCGUCACCUUAAAGUGAUCAGAAAACCACAAAAUUUGCUCCAGCUUUCCUCUAAGAGACAUGUGGAAAAGAAUGAUACCUUUGGAAGAGAAUUGAGAUGGCAGUGGUGGGAUAACAUGAUGUUCAAUGAUGAAACUGAAGCAACGACAACAAAAAAACCACAAGAGUUACAACUCAUUGGUCAAAAGCACAUUCCUUUGGGUGAGAAAUAAGGGCAGAGCCCUUUCCAUGGCAACACAAAGUAUCAAGGUUUCUGGAGUAAGAUUGUGACCAGAGGGUAGGGAAACAUUGCCCAGUGAAAUAAGCUUUGAGACAUAGUUCUUUCAUAGACUAGACAUGCCAGUUGAAGAAUUGGCAUGAUUUUUUAGGCUGUUUUGUAUAAAUAACCUUGAUUAGACACUGGCAAAUCUGACAUUGUGCAUAGCUUUAAAGUUUUUAACUUAUGAUUCAUUUACUCUAGUUUGAACUUGCUCUGAAGUAAAA
rnacentral:lncRNA from 1 species